GUGAUGAGCCGACCCCGGCGUAGAUUUGUGACGAAGAUUUACACCGGCUGA
rnacentral:snoRNA from 1 species